CUUCCAUUGUCUUAAACGUGUGCUUCGGUAGAAGUGAAAGGAUGGAGCUUUGCGUGUUUUUAGGUGUUUUAUUGAUUAAUGAAAAGGAAGAAGGGAAAGAAGUUACAAGUUAUCACGGCCUUGACGACCUUAAAUAUUGGUUAUUUCAUGCCGAGAUUUGACGGGUACGGUGAUAUUAAUGUCUUGAUUUGACAGACAGAAUUUGCCAUGGAUAUCCUAAUGAUUGAAGAUAUGGCAGAAGUGCUUCCAUUGUUCUUGGAUGAAAAAUAUACUUAGUAUAUGAUCAACUGGCUGAAAAGAAGAAGAGGUUAGAGUGCCAAGAACGUUCCAAAUGGAGUGUUAGCGCUUCAAUUCUAAAAAUACAAAUUAAAAGUUGAGGUUAAGAUAUUUUGAGCCUCUUUUAUACACGGUUGCACCCAACCCCUAAACAGUGCAGGUGUUGUGGAAAGGAUACCCUAUACAUCAAAAAAGAAAAUAAUUAUAAUCGACGGCACCCUUAUCGAAUGUGUGGGAGAACAGGAUUUAAGAAUUUGAAUUGACAGAAAGUAAUUGAAUUCGUACAAUGAAACUGUCAGUUGUCAUUUGUGUUUCUCCUAGCCACAUAAUUUAUCAUCAUUGUGCGAAUCCAUUAUACUUUUUCGGAAUAGCAAAUAGGUAUUAAUAUCGUAAUAAUAAUAAUUUUGGCCUUUUAUGAAUUUGUAGUGGGUACACUUUCUAUUCUCUACGACGUCAAAAUCUUCUUCUCUUGCCCAGCAGUCGGUACAAUACAUCAAAUUGAAAAUUCUAGCAAGCCGAUUACAUGAUGGUCUAACCUUGUAUUUCUAUUAACCUUGAUUGAACCUACAUUCAGGAUUGAUAAAUAUACAAUUGCCGAAUCAGUUCUUAUAAUAAUAUAUUUGGCUCCCCAUUUCACUGCCAUGUUUCCAGCUUUCACGACUGGAAUUAAUUCAGCGAAAUUUAUGUGAGUCCCAUCAUUCUUCCUUAUUCAAGCUUUUUUUUCAAUCUUCUCGCCAUCUCUUACUAUAUCUAAACCAUAGGCUAUCUAGCUUACAAUACAUUACACUUCAAUUGUUUUAUUGAUAUCUACCUUUCAUGUUAUGAUUGUCAUCUAAAGUACCCCUUAGGAAAAUACCAUAGAAUUUGUGAUAAUCAUUUUGAGGAAAAUGCUUAUAAAAGGGAUUUAAAGGUGAUUGCUGGUACUACUUUUAAAAAGAAAAUUGGAAGAAGAUGCUACCCCUUCCUGAGGUCUCAUACCUGGAGAAGGAUUUGAGCAAGCUCCAAGGAAAAAGAAAUGAAUUAAGAUUGGACCAUUUUGAAGAAGAUUCUCAUGAAAUAUAUUCGGAGACAUUUGACAAAUCAUCCCAAAUCAAUGUCAAAUCAACUCAAACACUUGUGUUAGAAUAGGUUUAUGCAUCUAAUCAAGCAUGUGUAUUCUGCAUUAUUCCAAUUAGUAGGGCUUCCAAUACCAGAAAAUAUCCACUCAUUCUAAAAUUCGAGUCACUAAGAAAACAGAAUGCAGAUUUAUACGAAAAGGGGGAAAUAGAUUAUUAAAAUCGAAAUCUAAAUUUAAGGAAGCGAUGAAAGGAGAACUGGAAGAGAGAUAAACUAAAUCUCAAUGUAAACUCAUUAUGAGUGGGAAGAGGUUUGGAGGAUGGAAAUUGGAGGAUAUUGUUAAAGGACUGAUACUGAAGUAUUUUUCAUUCAAAGCCCUACAUUUCAUUCAAUCCAGUGGUCUACUUUCGGUUCCUAGUGUAACAACCCUCAAACGGUGGGUCCUAAAUUUUAAAACAGCUCCUGGAAUACAAUCAAAUAUUAUUAAAAUUAUCGCUCAACAAAUAAAAUCCAACGAAACUCCAAAUGGAAACUUAGCUGUCUUGUGCAUUGAUGAGAUAAAGCUCCCGACAAAUAUAUAAAAAAAAAGGAUAUUGGAUCUGCUUAUGGAGAAAGUUUUUCUGAAUAAAAGGAUAUUAAGAGAAAUAAAAAUGGUGAAGUGGUGUUGCAGAAGUCAUCUGCUUUGAAGCCCUACCAAAAGGGCAUAGGUAUUUCUUCAAAAUCUUUGAUAUCAUUAUAUCAAUACAUAAAUAAUGAAAUUGGCCUUACAUAUAUAUAUUGACAUCUUGUUUAAAUCAAGAUUGUCUUGAAAACUUUUUUUUCAAAAAUAAGAUAUAUUGGACGAACUCACACUCAUCUUAAUGCGGUAGAGGCCAUGGAUUGCUUUCAGAUACUCGUAAUAAGUGGCUCAGAAAAAAUGGUUGUCGAAAAUGCUCCUACCAGAUCUGAAGAAAACCAAUGUUUUGUUUCUAUGUUUCAACAAAUUAGAGGUCUUAUUUUGAUCAAAGCAGACUUAGAAGAUAAAAUAGAACUUUAUCAAGACUUUGAUGAUAUAAUUUAUCCUCAAAUCAUUAAAGGUGAGAUUAAGGAAGAUAUUAAUAAGGAUGACAAUACAAUAGAACAACGAUCUAAUGAUUUACAUCUUCCUAAAAUCUGUGAAGAUGAAGGAUUUAUUUAUGUUGCUGGAUAUGUGGUCAAAUCGUUACAUCAAAAAUUUCCCACUCUGGUGAGUGUAAUACUUCAAGGAUCCAAGUUACUACAUUUCCAUGACUUAAAACAUUAUUAAGAGGGGGACUGCCUCAACCAACAAAAUCUUUUUUGGAAUUUUGCAAAAAAAUAGAGAAGCAUAUCAUUAAGUUUCAUGAGAAUUCUUUUGAUACCGAACCAUAUGUGAUGGAUCGACUCAUCAGCAUAAUUGUGUAAAAGUAUCUUAUGGAAAGAAUAUGAAGUUAUAAAAAAAAUUAUUCGCACUUGUACAUUAAUUAGACUAAUGUAUAUUAAUAAUGUAAACAAAAGUAGCAUAUCAAGAAAAAUAGCAAGUAACAUGCGAAAAACUGCUCAUUUCAUUACUUUAAAAAUAGAAACG
rnacentral:lncRNA from 1 species